GAUGAAGAACGCAGCGAAAUGCGAUACUUGGUGUGAAUUGCAGAAUCCCGUGAACCAUCGAGUCUUUGAACGCAAGUUGCGCCCGAAGCCAUUAGGCCGAGGGCACGCCUGCCUGGGCGUCACACGUCGUUGCCCCCCCAUCUACUCCUUCGGGAUUGCGGGGGGCGGAUGGUGGCCUCCCGUGCGCCUCGUCGCGCGGUUGGCAUAAAUGCCAAGUCCUCGGCGACACACGCCACGACAAUCGGUGGUUGCGAAACCUCGGUUGCCCGUCGUGUGCGGUCGUCGCGCAUCGAGGGCUCGAAAAAAUUGCCGGGCUCCGGCUCGGCUUUCAACGCGACCCCAGGUCAGGCGGGGUUACCCGCUGAAUUUAAGCAUAUCAAUAAGCGGAGGA
rnacentral:misc_RNA from 1 species